rnacentral:rRNA from 1 species
CCCAGUUCAGGGAGGUAGUGACAAUAAAUACCUUACAGAGGUCUCGUUAACCGAGAUCUCUCAAACGGAAUGAGUACAACGUGAAUCCUUUAACGAGGAUCGACUGGAGGGCAAGCCUGGUGCCAGCAGCCGCGGUAAUUCCAGCUCCAGUAGCGUAUAUUAAAGCUGUUGCGGUUAAAAAGCUCGUAGUUGGAUAUCAGUGCGUGUCCGGUCCGGUAUGCCUGGCGGUGUCGCUCGCGCGUCACUGCUGGGCUCCCAAAUAUCGGCUGGCCGCAUUCAAUCGUGCCGGAUCCGUCGGCGGGCCGUUCUUCGGAGGGGCCUGUUGGCGGCCGGCGACGUUACCUUGAACAAAUUAGAGUGCUCAAAGCAGGCUCUGUAUGCCUGUAUACAUAUUCAUGGAAUUGGAGAAUACGUCCCUGGCUCGAUUUGGUUGGUUUUGAGAGUCGAAGGGAAAUGAUUAAUAGGGACUGACGGAGGCAUUCGUAUUGCGACGCGAGGGGUGAAAUCCUGUGACCGUCGCACGACGAACUACUGCGAAAGCAUUUGCCGAGAAUGUUUUCAUUAGUCAAGAACGAAAGUUAGAGGUUCGAAGGCGAUCAGAUACCGCCCUAGUUCUAACCGUAAACGAUGUCGACCAGCAAUCCGCAACGGUCACUACACGGACUGUGCGGGCAGCUCCCCCGGGGAAACCAGAGUUUUUGGACUCCGGGGGAAGUAUGGUUGCAAAGCUGAAACUUAAAGGAAUUGACGGAAGGGCACCACCAGGAGUGGAGCUUGCGGCUUAAUUUGACUCAACACGGGACAACUCACCAGGCCCGGACACCGUAAGGAUUGACAGACUGAUAGCUCUCUCUUGAUUCAGUGGGUGGUGGUGCAUGGCCGUUCUUAGUUGGUGGAGUGAUUUGUCUGGUUUAUUCCGAUAACGAACGAGACUCUGGCCUAUUAAACUUGACACUGUCAGUCUCUUGUGACUGCGGUGCGCUUCUUAGAGGGAUCAUCGGCGUCCCAGCCGAAGGAAAGGGAGCAAUAACAGGUCUGUGAUGCCCUUAGAUGUUCUGGGCUGCACGCGUGUUACACUGAAGUGGUCAGCGCGCCGUUCAACACCCCUCUCCGUGAGGAGCUUGGGCAAACGUUUGAACCCUUUUCGUGAUGGGAAUUGGGGGUUGCAAUUG